rnacentral:rRNA from 1 species
ACGCUCGACACCUACUGGAGGCAGCAGUGGGGAAUAUUGGGCAAUGGGCGCAAGCCUGACCCAGCAACGCCGCGUGAAGGAAGAAGGCCCUCGGGUUGUAAACUUCUUUUAACAGGGACGAAGUAAGUGACGGUACCUGUUGAAUAAGCCACGGCUAACUACGUCCCAGCAGCCGCGGUAAUCUGAGCGGGCUGGCAAGGC